CCAAAGGCUCUUUUAAGAGCCACUUAAAUUGUCGAUAUUAGAGCUGU
rfam:Pan troglodytes isolate Yerkes chimp pedigree #C0471 (Clint) chromosome 6, whole genome shotgun sequence.